rnacentral:rRNA from 1 species
CAAAGGUUUGGUCCUGACUUUACUAUCAAUUGUACCCUAAUUUACACAUGCAAGUCUCCGCCUCCCCGUGAGAAUGCCCUUAAUGUCCUGCCCGGAAUUAAGGAGCAGGUAUCAGGCACAUCUAAUAGUUUACUAGCCCAUAACGCCUUGCUCAGCCACACCCCUACGGGUAUUCAGCAGUGAUAAAAUUUAAGCCAUAAGUGAAAGCUUGACUUAGUUAAGGGGAAGAGGGCCGGUAAAACUCGUGCCAGCCACCGCGGUUAUACGAGAGGCCCAAAUUGAUGAAAAACGGCGUAAAGCGUGGUUAAGAAAAAGAGAGAAAAUAUGGCCGAACAGCUUCAAAGCAGUUAUAC